GUUUAAGGUUUUUGGCGUUAGGGUUAAAAUCACUGUCCAAAACCUUUGUAGGAACAUGUUUCCAACCUUUUGGAGUUAGUUAGACCAAAAAAAAAAAAAAAAAAAAAAAAAAUGUUUUGGGUGUUCAGGACUCCUGAAGGUUAUACAGGUAUUAUAUUAGGUUAUGGGGAUUGGGUAACGUUUAAGGUUUUUGGCGUUAGGGUUAAAAUCACUGUCCAAAAUCUUUGUAGGAACUCUUUUCCAACCUUUUGGAGUUAGUUAGACCAAAAAAAAAAAAGAAAAAUGAAAAAAAAAAAUAUUUGGGGUUUUCGGGCUUCCUGAAUGUAAUACCCGGGUAUUAGGUUUUGUGGCUAGGGUAAGGUUUAAGGUUUUUGGCAUUAGGGUUAAAAUCACUGUCCAAAACCUUUGUAGGAACUCUUUUCCAACCUUUUGGAGUUAGUUAGACCAAAAAAAUAUGAAAAAUUAAAAAACAAUGUUUGGGGUUUUCGGGGUUCCUGAAUGUAAUACCCGGGUAUUAGAUUUUGAGGCUAGGGUAAGGAUUAAGUUUUUUGGCAUUAGGGUUAAAAUCACUGUCCAAAACCUUUUUAGGAACAUGUUUCAGACCUUUUGGAGUUGGUUACACCAAAAAAAAUGUAAAAUGAAAAAAAAAUGUUUGGGGUUUUCGGGCUUCCUGAAUGUAAUACCCGGGUAUUAGAUUUUAAGGCUAGGGUAAGGUUUAAGUUUUAUGGCGUUAGGGUUAAAAUCACUGUCCAAAACCUUUGUAGGAACUCUUUCCCAACCUUUUGGAGUUAGUUAGACCAAAAAAAAAAAAUGAAAAAUGAAAAAAAAAUAUUUGGGGUGUUCAGGCUUCCUAAAAGUAAUACCCAGGUAUUAGGUUAUGGGGCUAUGGUAAGGUUAAAGUUUUUGGCAUUAGUGUUAAAAUCACUGUCCAAAACCUUUGUAGGAACUCUUUCCCAACCUUUUGGAGUUAGUUAGACCAAAAAAAAUGAAAAAUGAAAAAAAAAUGUUGGGGGUUUUCGGGCUUCCUGAAGGUAAUACCCAGGUAUUAGGUUAUGGGGCUAUGGUAAGGUUUAAGGUUUUUGGUGUUAGGGUUAAAAUCACUGUCCAAAACCUUUUUAGGAACUCUUUUCCAACCUUUUGGAGUUACUUAGACCAAAAAAAAUGAAAAAUGAAAAAAAAAUAUUUGGGGUGUUCGGGCUUCCUGAAGGUAAUACCCAGGUAUUAGGUUAUGGGGCUAUGGUAAGGUUUAAGGUUUAUGGCAUUAGGGUUAAAAUCACUGUCCAAAACCUUUGUAGGAACUCUUUUCCAACCUUUUGGAGUUACUUAGACCAAAAAAAAUGAAAAAUGAAAAAAAAAAUAUUUGGGGUUUUCGGGCUUCCUAAAAGUAAUACCCAGGUAUUAGGUUAUGGGGCUAUGAUAUGGUUUAAGGUUUUUGGCAUUAGGUUUAAAAUCACUGUCCAAAACCUUUGUAGGAACUCUUUUCCAACCUUUUGGAGUUAGUUAGACCAAAAAAAAUGAAAAAUGAAAAAAAAAAUAUUUGGGGUUUUCGGGCUUCCUAAAAGUAAUACCCAGGUAUUAGGUUAUGGGGCUAUGAUAUGGUUUAAGGUUUUUGGCAUUAGGUUUAAAAUCACUGUCCAAAACCUUUGUAGGCACUCUUUUCCAACCUUUUGGAGUUACUUAGACCAAAAAAAAAUGAAAAAUGAAAAAAAAAUGUUUGGGGUUUUCGGGCUUCCUGAAUGUAAUACCCGGGUAUUAGAUUUUAAGGCUAUGGUAAGGUUAAAGUUUUUGGCAUUAGGGUUAAAAUCACUGUCCAAAACCUUUGUAGGAACUCUUUCCCAACCUUUUGGAGUUAGUUAGACCAAAAAAAAUGAAAAAUGAAAAAAAAAUGUUGGGGGUUUUCGGGCUUCCUGAAGGUAAUACCCAGGUAUUAGGUUAUGGGGCUAUGGUAAGGUUUAAGGUUUUUGGUGUUAGGGUUAAAAUCACUGUCCAAAACCUUUUUAGGAACAUGUUUCAGACCUUUUGGAGUUAGUUAGACCAAAAAAAAAAAGGAAAAAAAAAAGUGUUUUGGGUGUUCAGGACUCCUGAAGGUUAUACAGGUAUUAUAUUAGGUUAUGGGGCUUGGGUAAGGUUUAAGGUUUUUGGCGUUAGGGUUAAAAUCACUGUCCAAAACCUUUGUAGGAACUCUUUUCCAACCUUUUGGAGUUACUUAGACCAAAAAAAUAUUGAAAAAUGAAAAAAAAAUAUUUGGGGUGUUCAGGCUUCCUAAAACUAAUACC